rnacentral:rRNA from 2 species
CGAACGCUGGCGGCAGGCUUAACACAUGCAAGUCGAGCGCCCCGCAAGGGGAGCGGCAGACGGGUGAGUAACGCGCGGGAACGUACCUUUUGCUACGGAAUAACACAGGGAAACUUGUGCUAAUACCGUAUGUGCCCUUCGGGGGAAAGAUUUAUCGGCAAAGGAUCGGCCCGCGUUGGAUUAGCUAGUUGGUGAGGUAAAGGCUCACCAAGGCGACGAUCCAUAGCUGGUCUGAGAGGAUGAUCAGCCACACUGGGACUGAGACACGGCCCAGACUCCUACGGGAGGCAGCAGUGGGGAAUAUUGGACAAUGGGCGCAAGCCUGAUCCAGCCAUGCCGCGUGAGUGAUGAAGGCCCUAGGGUUGUAAAGCUCUUUCACCGGUGAAGAUAAUGACCGUAACCGGAGA